AGUGCCGGUCUCCUCCUACAGGGACGCGCAGCCCGGGACCGCCACGCGCAGCGCGGGAGGGGGAGGGCGGGACCGGGGAACAGGAGGGGAGGGGGACCCGGGUGCUUCCAGCGGUCCGGGCCCGCGGACGGAGUGCGGGCCGAUCCCGCUCACUGUCCCCUUCCGCAGUCCGCGUGCAGCUCCAGGGAGCUGUCCGCCCCGGUGGUUCUGAACCAGGCGCCGCCGAAACGCUCCAGGUAGGCGGCGGGCCCGAGGUCACCACACCCGCGGCGGCGGCUGCUGCCGAGGUUUCCUGGGGGUCACUGCCAGCUGCGCCGCAUGCUCCCAUAAAUACAGGGGCUGUCCAGCUUCUGGGAAUCUCGCUCUAAUUAGGAGCCCGCCUCGCCGGUCCACUGUUGGUCGCUGGUCAGAUGCUAACUCCGUCUCGCUUCAGUAUCCCUGUAAUUUAAGGGUGCCAGCACUGGAGUUAAGUAGCUAGUCAUUCCUCAUCAUCGUUGACGUGUGGCAUCUUUUGAACUCAAAAUAUCCAUUACUUCCAAAUACUAAUUACUCUCACACCUCUAUUUUAAUAUCUCCUUCACACACACACUUGAAACACUCAUGUACUGAAAUAUUGCAUGAUCACCCAGGCUUCAGUGCUCUCAUAAACAAUAGCACAGAAAGGUUGCAUCCGCCCCUCUUCCUUGGGCAGGAAUGUGUGGUGGUCAUCCUGUUGAUGGCGAUACGCGUAACGGAGACUGCCUUGUCUUCUUGCUCCCCUCCUCCUCCUUCGAAUAAUGCAAUAAGUCACACUAAUGGUAAAUGGGCCAUAAAGUCACUUUCACUCUGAAAUAAAAUAAAUCCUCAGAGAUGUGAAGGGCUUACAAAUCCUACUGAGCAUUAACUAAAUUGUAGUUACAUGAAACAGAAAGGCAUGUUGCGAUUUCUACGAAUGCAUAAAGGAUGAAGGACCAUUUUGCCGCCAAGUGGGGUCACUUCUAGUGUCGAGCAGGAACCUUCACUCAUGCCCUCCCCUCCCCAGCCCCUGUGGUUCCUCCUUCCACAUCAGGGGCUCUGCACAGGCAUAGGUUCAUGAUCAUCACUAACAGACAAUAUAUAAAAAGGAAAAGAUUCAUGGAACUUUCCUUGCUAUGUGGAUUGGCUGAAAAAUGAGGAAGUGCUUGCAAAGCAUUUUUACUCUCUUGGAAGAAUUAUGCCAC
rnacentral:lncRNA from 1 species